rnacentral:rRNA from 1 species
UACGUAGGGUGCAAGCGUUAUCCGGAAUUAUUGGGCGUAAAGAGCUCGUAGGCGGUUUGUCGCGUCUGCUGUGAAAACUGGAGGCUCAACCUCCAGCCUGCAGUGGGUACGGGCAGACUAGAGUGCGGUAGGGGAGAUUGGAAUUCCUGGUGUAGCGGUGGAAUGCGCAGGUAUCAGGAGGAACACCGAUGGCGAAGGCAGAUCUCUGGGCCGUAACUGACGCUGAGGAGCGAAAGCAUGGGGAGCGAACAGG